GUCCACGCUGUAAACGAUGAUUACUAGGUGUGGGGACUGACCCCUUCCGUGCCGGAGUUAACACAAUAAGUAAUCCACCUGGGGAGUACGGUCGCAAGACUGAAACUCAAAGGAAUUGACGGGGCCCGCACAAGCAGUGGAGUAUGUGGAUUAAUUCGAUGCAACGCGAAGAACCUUACCAGGUCUUGACAUCUAACGAAUUCUGAUGAAAGUCGGAAGUGCCCUUCGGGGAGCGUUAAGACAGGUGGUGCAUGGUUGUCGU
rnacentral:rRNA from 1 species